rnacentral:rRNA from 1 species
GAUGAACGCUGGCGGCGUGCUUAACACAUGCAAGUCGAACGAAGAGCGAUGGAAGCUUGCUUCUAUCAAUUUUAGUGGCGAACGGGUGAGUAAAGUGUAAUCAACCCGCCUUUCAGAGGGGGAAAACAGUUGGAAAAGACUGCUAAUACCGCAUACGAUCUAAUCUCGGCAUCGAGGAUAGAUGAAAGGUGGCCGCUACAUGUAAGCUCGAACUCAAGGAGGGGAGUGCGCGUGGUUAGCUAGCUUGAGGGGUAACGGCCCCACAAGGCGGUGACCAGUAGGCUGUUUGGGAGGAUGAACGGCCCCAACGGGAAUGGAACACGGCCCAGGCUCCUACGGGAGGCAGCAGGUGGGGAACUUUCGCAAUGGAGGGCAAGCUUGCGGAGGAACGCCGGGGUAGGUGUGGAGGGCUUCCGGGUGUAAAGGUCUGUUUAUCGGGAAGGAAGGCCUUCUGGCGAAUAGUGAGAAGUAUUGACGGUACCGGAAGAGAAAGCCACGGCUAACUACGUG